UACGUAGGUGGCAAGCGUUGUCCGGAUUUACUGGGCGUAAAGAGCGCGCAGGCGGUCGUUCAAGUCGCGUGUGAAAGCCCCCGGCUCAACUGGGGAGGGUCACGCGAUACUGAUCGACUCGAAGGCAGGAGAGGGUAGUGGAAUUCCCGGUGUAGUGGUGAAAUGCGUAGAUAUCGAGAGGAACAUCGGUGGCGAAGGCGGCCUUCUGGACAGCGACUGACGCUGAGACGCGAAAGCGUGGGGAGCAAACAGG
rnacentral:rRNA from 1 species